CAAAGAGAUGCAAUGGAUUUAUACUCUGUAAUAUUAUUGAUUGUUGUUUUAGUAACUUAGGAAUGCUUUGAUUGCUAACACAGGCGACUACAAAGCAACCGUUUGACUACGAUAGAAGAGUCCUUUUUUGAAACAGUUACUGUCUUUGGAGAUGUAGAUUUGUCAUUCAAUAAUUUGAAGUUCCUACCUCGGAGCUUGUCUAAACAGCUAUUCCUGACGAGAUUAUUUCUCAUCGGGAAUCACUUGACCACAAUCGAAAGCUACUUUUUCUCUGGCCUGCAGUCUCUUCGAGAAUUAAAUAUUAUGAGAAACAGAAUAACAACAGUAAAAGCAGGAUCAUUCAGAGACCUAACCGUCUUAAACAAAUUAUAUUUGAUUGAGAGCAAUUUGACGUCCUUGCCAUUUGACAUAUUUGCUCCACUGGGCAAUUGCACUGU